GGAGUUUGCUGUUUCGCCCAGGCUGGAGUGAAGUGGCGAGAUCUCGGCUCACUGCAACCUCCGCCCCCGGGGUUCAAGUGAUUCUCCUGCCUCAGCCACCACGAUUUAACAGUUUGGAAUAGUUCAACAGUGAAGUCAUCUCAACCAGCCCAGGGCCUUGACUCCUAACAACAAUCACACGAACUUGGAAGAGGAUCCUUCCCCAGCUGAACCUUCACUUGAGACCUUGUCAUUGGCCAUCAUUGACAUCUGGAUUCAUGAUACAGAGAAACUUGAGUAAUGAUGACACUAGCAGUCCAGCGUGCAUGGAUGCUGACAUGGAUGCUGUCUCCCAUUCUUACCACUGGAUGUGAAGAAAUGCUAGAUGCAAUCCAUCCAAUCUGUACUCGACUGUCAGUUCCAUCUUCUCAACUCACAGUGUCUUCCAAAGUCCAU
rnacentral:lncRNA from 1 species